rnacentral:rRNA from 1 species
AUGCCAACCCAUCCUCAUGCUUUGAAGGGUUUAGAUGAAGAGCAAAGCUGGGAACUUUUUAGUAGCAGAGCUUUACCUUCAUAUAGAAUAUCAAUCAUACGUGAUCUGGAUAAAUAUAAAGAAAUGGGAAGAAAGCUUACAAGGAAAUGUGAUGGAUUACCACUUGCACUUGCAGUGUUAGGUGGUUAUCUAUCAAAGAACCUCAACAUACAAGCAUGGUCCGAUGUGCUACUGUGUUGGCCAUCAACCAAGGACACACAGAUGAUGCGAGGCAUAAUUGCUCGCAGUUACAAGGACCUACCAAAUCACUAUUUAAGAUCCUGUGUGCUCUAUCUUGCGGCUUUUCCCGAGGAUUACAUAAUAUAUGUGCCAACUCUUAUUAAUACGUGGAUAGCAGAAGGCUUCAUUCCACAUACUCCUAAGCAUACCUUAGAAAAAACAGCUCGUAUGUAUGUAACUGAGUUGGCUUAA